AGCGAACGCUGGCGGCAGGCCUAACACAUGCAAGUCGAACGCACCUUCGGGUGAGUGGCGGACGGGUGAGUAACACGUGGGAACGUACCUUUAGGUUCGGAACAACUCAGGGAAACUUGAGCUAAUACCGGAUAAGCCCUUCGGGGGAAAGAUUUAUCGCCUUUAGAGCGGCCCGCGUUAGAUUAGGUAGUUGGUGAGGCAACGGCUCACCAAGCCGACGAUCAGUAGCCGGACUGAGAGGUUGAACGGCCACAUUGGAACUGAGAAACGGUCCAGACUCCUACGGGAGGCAGCAGUGGGGAAUAUUGGGCAAUGGGCGAAAGCCUGACCCAGCGACGCCGCGUGAGGGAAGAAGGUCUUCGGAUUGUAAACCUCUGUUGACAGGGACGAAGCAUGACGGUACCUGUCGAGGAAGCCACGGCUAACUACGUG
rnacentral:rRNA from 1 species